ACCUGUUCCCAUACCGAACACAGCAGUUAAGCCCUUCAGCGCUGAUGGUACUUAGGCGGAAGCGCCUUGGGAGAGUAGGUCGUUGCUGGUU
rnacentral:rRNA from 1 species